rnacentral:misc_RNA from 1 species
AGAGAGAGAGAGAGAGCAAUAAUAGAGAUAGUCAGAGGAGGAGGAGAAGAGGGUAUAGAGACGGGAUGUUUAAGGAUCUUUCUUGGUUCUUCUGAGACAGAUUUGCUUCAAACUGAGAUUGAAAGGUUUUGUUGUGAUGCAAGAUGGACUUUUCAGAGCAUACGAGGAUUGUGUUCAAUAGAAUUAAGAAACUGGAACCAGAGAAUGUUACUAAGAUUAUCGGUUAUCUUCUUUUACAAGAUGGUGGUGACCAAGAAAUGAUUAAUCUGGCUAUGAGUCCUGAUGUGGUUAUUCAAGAAGUGAUUUAUAAGGCUAAAACUGAACUUAAUCAAUUAGCCCUCAAAUCAGCAACAUCUCCAGUCUCGCCAUCCAUGAAUUCACCACCUGUUUCAGAUCUUCCUUCACAGUUCACUCCUUUCUCCCCUGUUUCAUCUCGGUCUUUUUUGUCCCCAGCAACAUCCUUCCGAGCCCCUUCUUCCUAUUGGGAAUCUCAGGUUGCGGCUAAGCAUAAUUUAGAUUUUGCGUCUAUGGGUUACCUGGAUUCUGUGUCUGAGCUCCAAAACCAAAACCAUUUCUUGAGUUUGGAGGAUCAAAUAGAGCCUGUCAACUUGGGAAAUAUGGUAUUUCCAAGUGAUUAUUUCUCCUCGGAUGCUGCACUGGGUAGUUUAAGUGCAAGGGCGGGUCGGCGGUAUUCAAGCUUAAAUGAAAUCCCAGUUAAGACUUGUCACUAUUUCAACAAGGGUUUUUGUAAGCAUGGAAGUAAUUGUAGGUACUAUCAUGGACAAGUCUCGGAGAGCUUUCCUCGAACAUUUGAUGCUAACAAUGAAGAUCAGCUUUUCUCACCAGGGUCACUUGAGAAGUUGGAGUUGGAAAUCAUUGAGAUCUUGAAAUCAAGAAAAGGAAAUCCUGUUUCAAUUGCUUCUUUGCCAAUGAUAUAUUAUGAGAAAUAUGGAAAAGUUCUUCAAGCAGAAGGGUACCUAACAGAGAGCCAGAGACAUGGGAAAGCUGGUUAUAGCUUGACUAAGCUUCUUAUUAGGCUGAAAAACAGUAUUCAGCUGAUCGACAGACCUCAUGGUCAGCAUGCAGUAAUUUUGGUGGAAGAUGCUCCAAAAUACAUGGAUAAUCGGGGGGACAGAAAUGACCCUGGUCCAAUUGUUAGUGGAUCACGGCAGAUAUAUCUAACCUUCCCCGCUGAGAGCACUUUUACAGAAGAUGAUGUCUCCAACUACUUCAACACCUUUGGAUCAGUUGAGGAUGUAAGGAUCCCCUGCCAACAGAAAAGGAUGUUUGGUUUCGUAACAUUUGAAAGUGCAGAUACUGUGAAGAUGAUUUUGGCAAAAGGAAAUCCUCAUUUUGUUUGUGGUGCUCGAGUUCUUGUGAAACCUUAUAGGGAAAAAUCAAAGCUUACUGAUAGGUAAAAUUAUCUGCAAAAUUUGAAAUGCUAAAACCAAAUCUCUUUGUGACAUUGCAAUUCUCAGGAAUUAUUAUAUUCCAUUUAAUGGUUUUUAAAGCAUAGCCUUUCAUGUCAAUAUAACUCAGUGUCCAAAGCAUCAUAUCAGAUAACUACAUUGUAUUUUAAUGGUGGAACCUUGUGCGUUUGAGUUUUAGUGGUAGAACUUUAGAACUAACUACAGCAAUUACUUGGUGCUUUUUUUUUGGGGGGGGGAAUAUGAAGUUGGAUUUGAAAUUCUUAAAAAGAACUUGCAAUUUUGUUUCUUUCUCACAGCUGAAAUUUUGGUGCAGGAGGUAUCAGGAGAGAAUUGAGCCUCCAUUCUAUUUCUCUUCUCAAUACGUAGAUACAGAUUCUGAGUUUUAUCCAAGUGAGUUAGGUCUUUCAAUAAUUUCCAUGAAUGAAAAGAUAAAAUUAUGAAAUAUUAAUGCAGAAAACAUUUUGAUAAUUAUGAAGAAACCAAAAAAUACAAAUUUUAUGUUGGUAAAUCCUUUGAAUUCUUUAAUAUACUGCAAAUGCACACACAAUAGUCCACAGUGGCCCUUUUUAUUGUUAUUAAUUUUUUUGCAUCAUCUAAUUGUAUAUUUUGCUUUUAGUGCGAAGAGGAUAUGAGACCUCAAGGUUGCUGAGAAAGCAGCUUAUGGAAGAGCAACAGGAGCAGGCUCUUGAAAUUCAGAGGAGGCGAUUUGCAGAACUGCGAACAGCUCAGAAGCCAAUGUCUAAUCAGUCUUAUUUUGGCUACUCGAUGGAG